GGGGUAGUGGCUCAGGGGUAGAGCACUUGCCUAGCAUGCCUGAGGCACUGGGUUCGUUCCCCAGCACCACA
rnacentral:tRNA from 1 species